rnacentral:rRNA from 1 species
AACGGAGGGGGCUAGCGUUGUUCGGAAUUACUGGGCGUAAAGCGCACGUAGGCGGCUUUGUAAGUUAGAGGUGAAAGCCCGGGGCUCAACUCCGGAAUUGCCUUUAAGACUGCAUCGCUCGAAUCAUGGAGAGGUGAGUGGAAUUCCGAGUGUAGAGGUGAAAUUCAUAGAUAUUCGGAAGAACACCAGUGGCGAAGGCGACUCACUGGACAUGUAUUGACGCUGAGAAUCGAAAGCGUGGGGAGCAAACAGG